rnacentral:rRNA from 1 species
ACGGAGUUCUUGAGGAAUGCGGCUUCGGCCAAAUGACUUUUGAACUUAGUGGCGGACGGGUGAGUAACGCGUGAGCAACCUGCCUUUCAGAGGGGGAUAACAUUUGGAAACAGAUGCUAAUACCGCAUAAGAUUACAGUACCGCAUGAUACAGUGAUCAAAGGAGCAAUCCGCUGAAAGAUGGGCUCGCGUCCGAUUAGAUAGUUGGUGAGGUAACGGCUCACCAAGUCGACGAUCGGUAGCCGGACUGAGAGGUUGAACGGCCACAUUGGGACUGAGACACGGCCCAGACUCCUACGGGAGGCAGCAGUGGGGAAUAUUGCACAAUGGGCGAAAGCCUGAUGCAGCAACGCCGCGUGAGGGAAGACGGUUUUCGGAUUGUAAACCUCUGUUUUCGGUGACGAAUAAAUGACGGUAACCGAGUAGGAAGCCACGGCUAACUACGUGCCAGCAGCCGCGGUAAUACGUAGGUGGCAAGCGUUAUCCGGAAUUACUGGGUGUAAAGGGAGCGCAGGCGGGAUAGCAAGUCAGCUGUGAAAACUAUGGGCUCAACCCAUAAACUGCAGUUGAAACUGUUAUUCUUGAGUGGAGUAGAGGCAAGCGGAAUUCCGAGUGUAGCGGUGAAAUGCGUAGAUAUUCGGAGGAACACCAGUGGCGAAG